rnacentral:tRNA from 1 species
GGUUUAGUGGUAAAAUAUCUCGUUGCCAACGAGAUGCCCCGGGUUCGAUUCCCGG